rnacentral:lncRNA from 1 species
AUUAAGUGGCUCACAGUCCUAGAGCUCAAUUUACAAAGAAGAAUCGGUAGUUUUCUGAGAAGUAGUGGUGUGGCCGGCUUGGAGAAAUUACGAAGUCAAGUCCAUUUCUCCUUCCAUUUUGCCGGUGAGUUUUCCUUCCACUUUCGCUGGUGCUGGUGCUGGGCCAGUCUUUAGGACACAUAAGCAGGAAAUUCUGCAAAAGUGGCCCCUGGGGAUCCCUUUUUGACUCCCUUUUGUCGCUAAGCCGGGACUGUCUCUGGAAAUUUGAGACUGGGCCUUAGCCUGGAUUUGUUGCUGCUCCCCUUGCUACUGCUGACACUUGGCACCACAGUCCAAACAGACGCAGAGCGGGUCCCACGCCAUCUGAAGGAGCCCGGACAGUGUCACCCUCUCCACGGUGCUGGCCGGCCUGCCACCCACGCAGGGGAGCCUGGGCCUGCGCCCCUCUUCCGCACCCGCCCGCCGCAGGUGAGACCCUCGCUCCCCACCGAGUUCUGUUUGGGUUUCCGUGGCGCUUGUUCCCCGCAGGUUUGUUUGUUUUUCUUCAAAUUACAGAUGCGGGGAAAACCGCCUGACAUCAUGAGAGCAGGACAAACUCACUUUGAAGGAUUCCUGGGCAGGACUUCAAGUGAAAUCAUAUGCCUGAGAAGAACUUGAUACCGGUCUAGAGAAAAUAACUAGUUCUGACUUUGCCAAACCGUGGAAUGUGCAAAAUGCUCUACUUUUGUGCAAGGGGCCAAGUGUCCCUUAAAAAGCUCCAUUAUGAACGCGAAGGGGCAAGAAGCUGGUGCCGUUGUUGAACGUGGGGGAGAAGUACAAAAGGCGUGUGAGUUUCCGCUACUUGACGUUAUUUUAUUAGCAGUCUGUUCCACUUUGGGGAGGGUAUCUGCACCUGUGCAUGAACGAUUAUCUCUGCCUGUGCUCAGCGAGUAUAUGCACGCAACGGGGAAAUAUAUGGGGACAAAACAUUUACUGCUUUCUUGCCACUGAAGGCUAUCAAUCAAAAAAUGAAAAACAAAAGUAGUUAUUUGCACAGUAAAGGCAACAACGCAGUCAACAUUUUAGAAUUCAUCCAAGCCCCUAUAAUGGAAUACUUUCUGCUAGCAAAUGCAUUCUGGUUGAAAGGCGAAGCUGAAUCCAGCCACCUAACUAAAUGGAAAGAUUUAUUUUCUCAGUGAUAAAACAGGUGUGUUUGUAUCUUUUAAACAAAUGUAGGUAACAAAAAUAAAAUGAAAUGAAAUAAAAUGAGAGGAAAUAACGGUGGAGAAGAAGACACAGGUGGCUUUAUUUGUAUUCUAAAAAUGUUAUUUUGUCACUUGGUGAGAGGUAAGAAUAUAGACUUUGCAAGCUGAAAAUUAUAUUCAAGUAGCUAAUAUUUUCCACUGUGAAGUAUCCUCAAAGUAAAAAUAUUAACCACCUUUUGUUCCUUCAUUUAUUUCUCUUAAGACCUAAAGGAAAAUAUUUCCCGGUAUUUUGUAUUUAGUUACUCCACACAAAUGUGACACUUGCUUUUUUUCAGUUUCCUCUUAUGAAAAAAAAGUGGAAAAAGUAAAACAUUAAGGAAAAAAAGGCAAAUGGAAGACUACCUUCCUUUUUUUUAAACAUCUAGUUUUUACACCCAGAGUUAAGAUAGUGUUUACCUUCUCAGCAAUGAUGGUCAGCUCCCUCCUGAUGUAAUGUAGCUCAAGACAUCUGAAAUAUCAAAUAGUCAGACCAAACUAGUGAACAUGAAGAUUCCCCCCAUGAACAAUUUAGAAAAUGGAGGUGGUUGAUGAUACACAAAAGAGAGGAUUACCAUUCUGAUACUUUCC